rnacentral:rRNA from 1 species
UACAUGGAUAACCAAGGAAAUACUUUGGCUAAUACAUGCGGAAGGGAUGCGUUUGUUCUUCAAACCAAUAAAGGUGAAACUGAACAAUUCACGGUCUAUGCACCGGCGACAUAUCCUUCAAAUGUCUGCCUUAUCAACUUUCGAUGGUAGAUUAUGCGCCUACCAUGGUUGUAACGGGUAACGGAGAAUCAGGGUUUGAUUCCGGAGAGGGAGCCUGAGAAACGGCUACCACAUCCAAGGAAGGCAGCAGGCACGCAAAUUACCCACUCCCGGCGGGGAGGUAGUGACGAAAAAUAACAAGCUGGUCUCUAGGCAUUGUAAUGGGAACAAUUUAAAUCCUUUAUCGAGGAUCUAUUGGAGGGCAAGUCUGGUGCCAGCAGCCGCGGUAAUUCCAGCUCCAAUAGCGUAUAUUAAAGUUGUUGCGGUUAAAAAGCUCGUAGUUGGAUCUAUAAGAGCUUAGGUCGUUCGUUUGGACGCUCUAGUGAUCGGUUGUUGCUCUUCAUUGAGUGACUCCGUUGCUGGAACUUUUACCUUGAAAAAAUUGAAGUGCUCAAAGCAGGCUUUCCCUGAACAUUGCUGCAUGGGAUAAUAGAACGAGGUUCUGUUCUGUUGGUUUCGGAACGCGAAGUAAUGAUUAAUAGGGACAGACGGGGGCAUUCGUAUUGCUGCGUUAGAGGUGAAAUUCUUGGA